rnacentral:rRNA from 1 species
GAGAUGUCGGUUAGUCGGUACGAGCGCACCCUAUUCUUAGUUGCCAAUGAUGGAACUCUAGGAAGACUGCCGGUGUCAAACCGGAGGAAGGUGGGGAUGACGUCAAGUCCUCAUGGCCCUUACGAUUGGGGCUACACACGUACUACAAUGGCAUUUACAGUGGGACGCAAUAUCGCGAGAUGGAGCAAAUCCCCAAAAGAUGCCUCAGUUCGGAUUGUACUCUGCAACUCGAGUACAUGAAGUUGGAAUCGCUAGUAAUCGCGUAACAGCAUGACGCGGUGAAUACGUUCCCGGGCCUUGUACACACCGCCCGUCACACCACGAAAGUUGGCUCUGCCUGAAAUCGAUCGCCUAAACCCCUCGGGGAUAGCGUCGCUUACGGUAGGUCCGAUGAUUGGGGUGAAGUCGUAACAAGGUAGCCGUUGCGGAAGCAGCGGCUGGAUCACCUCCUUU